AUGAACCUUCCUUUCCAUUGGAUGGCGCUCAGCAGCAGCAUCCACUGUACUUUUGAUCAUACUUCUAAAGGCACUCACAAAAGUCGAUUUCCAGAACUGCUUCACAAGGUGACAAGAACAACGGGUCAGUGGGAACUAUUAAAAGAUGUUAAACAAUGGAGUGACAAGGAAAGAUUUCAAGCGAGGAAUGAUCACUCUGUUGCUCAGUACGGAGGGCUGACUGGAAGAAGAGGUGAAGAGAGAAGUGCACCCUGAGGGGUUAUAUUUUGGUGAAAAGUGGGGCCCAGCAAUCCUCUCAGGAAAGAAGACAGAGGCAAACAAAUGGAGUCUGCACUUUGGACUGCUGUUAUUCAAGUUUUCCUAAGAAGUGACAGCAUGGAAAUCCUCAAGCCUGCUCAGAGUCUGCACCAAUUUCAUGGGAGAAUCUGCAGAUUUUCAGGCAGUAAGUUGAUCCGUGAUGGCCUUCAACCCAGGAGUGAGGAAUUCUCUGUUUAUAGUUUUGACUCAAAAAGGAUCCAAAUCUGCCCCACCCUGGAAAUGCAUCAUUAAGGGGGAAUUUUCAGUGUUUAAAAAUGGUUUACAAUAAGAUCACGUUGAAUUUUGUUCUUUUUUCCUUUUAUGAAGAUAAAUGCAAUCUGUAAAAUAUUGUCUCAAAAAAGAAAAGACAAAUGCAGUCUGUUUGACACUGAUUCUUCAUCAGGCAAUGCUGUAGGUGCCCCCCAAUACACACACCUUUGAUCACAGGCUGGGGCUCUCCUCUGAGACAGAUGCUCAAGCAUAUUUCUUGCAUAAGGUGGAAUCAGUGUGGGUGAACCUGACAACUGCCUAUCAGGAGCCCUUGGAAAUGUCCAUGAGAGACAAGGGUGAAGACUUGGGAAACAAUCCAAAGAAAUUCCUUUUGAUGGCCCACAUUAUGAGUUGACACUGAUAUAGCGAUCUGUGAGGCACCAAAGUAAACCUGCCCUAAGGAGCCUGGAUCCAACCAAGGGGCAGGUCAGAUUCAAAAUAAACCUCUGCCAUCUCCAAAGCCCUCUGAGCUUCUGUCUUCAGUCAUGCUUCAUUAUGGAACUGCUUCUUUCCUCCGUGGUUUUUCCCCAUUUCCUGCUUUUCUCCUUCUUCUUUAGCCACCACUUAGCUCCCUAUGGGUUGAAUAAUAAUUUAGUAUGAGUUCAAUUUUUUCGGCAUGUUUUGCAAUAGUAGUUUGUUGCCUUUAUUCUUUACGGCUAGAGGGGUGGUGGCCUGGUAUGACUGCCCCAAUUUUAAAGGCAGGACAAAAAGGGAUAAUGGACCUGGUGAAUUGCCAGAGAUGAAAGGAAUGCGAUUAACACCCAUUACUUUUUA